AUGGCUGCUGUCUGUCGCCAUGGCAGCACGUGUGGAUCAAAGUCAACAGCGGCCAGUGUUUUGGGAGUUCCCAUCUCAAACACGGUGAGUCACUCGCUGCCCUCCCUGAAAAAUCACCCUCAUCAGCUGAGUGACAAGGACCUGACACAGGCUCCAAGCCCCGCCCCCAGACAGAGGAGGAGGAGGCCAUGUGACCAGAGGGGCUCGGCUGCGCUGGGUGUGGACGCAGAACGAGGGCAGGGUAAAAGAGGGCGGACGGGACCAGUAGCUGCUGCAGCGUGUGCGUUUGGCUCCCAGUCUGAAGUGAGCGUCGCUGAGAGCAGCAGGAGCUGGAAGAGAGCGCGUAUCCACACGAACCGUCACCAUGCUGAUCCUCCUCGCUGUAAUAUUCGCCGUUCACAUCAUCGGCAUCGUCCUCCUCCUGGUGGCGACCAUCGACAAUGUGAGUAUCUAGAGUUUGUACAAACAUCUGGAGACACACACACACACACACACACACAGACACACACACACACACACACACACACACACACACACACACACACACACACACACACACCUGCACACCCGCGGACCCAGCAGGCCCUCGGCCUCACCCCCCGCCCUCGGCCUCACCCCUCCUCCUCACCCUCCGGGCCUCGGCCUCACCCCUCCUCCUCCUCACCCCCCGCCCUCCUCCUCACUCUUCGGCCCUCGUCCUCACCCUCCGGGCCUCGGCCUCACCCCUCGGCCUCACCCCCCGCCCUCGGCCUCACCCCUCCUCCUCACCCUCCGGGCCUCGGCCUCACCCCCCGCCCUCGGCCUCACCCCUCCUCCUCACCCCCCGGGCCUCGGCCUCACCCCUCGGCCUCACCCCCCGCCCUCGGCCUCACCCCUCCUCCUCACCCUCCGGGCCUCGGCCUCACCCCUCGGCCUCACCCCCCGCCCUCGGCCUCACCCCUCCUCCUCACCCUCCGGGCCUCGGCCUCACCCCCCGCCCUCGGCCUCACCCCUCCUCCUCCCCCCCCGGGCCUCGGCCUCACCCCUCGGCCUCCCCCCCCGCCCUCGGCCUCACCCCUCCUCCUCACCCCCCGGGCCUCGGCCUCACCCCCCCCCCCUCACCCCCCGGCCCUCUCGUCUCAGGGACACAUGCUUCACAUUUCUGGGCGGCAGAUACGACACCACAGUGACGUAACCGGGUUCCGCUCACAGACGGAGCUCGUGCAAACAGAUGCUGAAUUGUUAGAUAUCAGGGUGAAACUGUGA
rnacentral:lncRNA from 1 species